rnacentral:rRNA from 1 species
CGCAAGCCUGACGGAGCCAGACCGCGUGAGGGAAGAAAGCCUUUGGGUUGUAAACCUCUUUUCUCAGGGAAGAAACCUGACGGUACCUGAGGAAUCAGCAUCGGCUAACUCCGUGCCAGCAGCCGCGGUAAGACGGAGGAUGCAAGCGUUAUCCGGAAUUAUUGGGCGUAAAGCGUCCGCAGGUGGUUUUUCAAGUCUGCGGUUAAAGCCAGGAGCUCAACUCCUGUCGGGCCGUGGAAACUGAGAAACUAGAGGAUGGUAGGGGUAGAGGGAAUUCCCGGUGUAGCGGUGAAAUGCGUAGAGAUCGGGAAGAACAUCGGUGGCGAAAGCGCUCUACUGGACGGCAACUGACACUCAGGGACGAAAGCUAGGGGAGCG